AGUCCUAAUUUAAAUGAAAGAAUUCCUCUGUUUUUAUCAGCUUGAUAUCUGAUACGAUUCUCAUUGAGAAGUCAGAAUAUCGAUCUGAUUUUUGGAAUAUGGCGGAGUGUCUGGGGCUUGAUCCGACUCUGCCACCGGUCGACCGUCAUUGCAGUACCACAAAGAACGGCCCACACAAU
rnacentral:snRNA from 1 species